rnacentral:lncRNA from 1 species
CAGUGGUAAAGGCCUUGCCGUGGGAAUAAGAGCGGCCAUAGCUACACUACUAUCUGAGAGUAUGAAUUUUAAAGUAUGGAAUAAAGGCAAAAGUUUUUAUGAUGCAUAUAUGGCAAAAGUUUUUAUGAUGCAUAAAUGGCAAAAGUUUUAUGAUGCAUAAUCAUAUUUAUGAAGUUGCAUGAAUGGACAUGCAUAGUUUUAUAACUAGUUUGAUUAUGGCAAAGAUUUGAUUAUAUGAAAUGUUUACUUUAUUACAAGCACAGGUUUCAAAGCAUGAAUAAUAAUAGUACAUAUUUCAAAGCAAGAAUAAUGAUGAGUACGGCUUUUAAAGCAGGGAAUAAAGACAAAAGGUUUACGUCUGGUUUGAUUUGGAAAAUGCUUUCUUUAUUACAACUGUUUGUUCUUCAAAUAGUGCAUUGGCAUACAAAAAUAUUAUGCUUGAUCUGAUAAGAUUAUGCAUUGUUACUUACUGAGCUUUAUAGCUCACACCCAUUUAUUUAUUUUUUUACAGAUGAAUAGGAGAUGAUAGGAACAAGGAGCGUGACAUGCUUCAGGGUUAUGGGAAAAAGAAAAUGACACAUUAAAUGUUGCUAUUUUUAGAUGCUUUAUAAUCAAUCUUUUAUUGAUGAAACAUUUAAGUUUUAAAGUGGCUGCGUGUUAUUGUAUGCUUAACUUGGCGAUAACACGGCCGUGUCAUGAACCGAAUUCGGGGUGUGACAAUAAACAUCUUUGCAAGAAUCUCUCUUACCUUGUCUUUAUCAUACUUAUAAGUUGCUAGCAUUGCAUGACCUUGAGUAGCCUCAAAAGACAAUAAGCUUUGUUUUAACUCUUUGUCUUCGCUAGACUUAGAAAGUUUUCAAGGUAUGCAAGCUUUUAAAUGUCUUUUAAGAUGAGUUGUGGCACCAUCCUUCUUCCAUGCCAAUUUAGUGUUACAAUGAUUGCAUUUUGCCUUUGUGUUGCCAUCUACUGUUAUAUAUUCAAAUUUAGUCCACACCUCAGAUCUUUUCCUCUUGUUUGGGUCAUCCUAAGAUUGUUCUAUAACCAUUUCUUCCAUUUCGUCCAUUUCAUCAUUUUUAUCAAUAAUAUUUUCGAAUUCAACAACUUCGUUUGCACUAUAAGCUAUAGAGGCAUGUUGAUCGGAUUGAGGUUGGCCAUCUGGCAUUUCUUGAAAAAUAUAAACAACCAAUCAAAUUAUAUAUUUAGUACAUAAACAUGCCAUACAAAGCCUAUUCAAGGACAAAACCACACAAAAUGACAGUUUAGGA